rnacentral:rRNA from 1 species
UUGUUGCAGUUAAAAAGCUCGUAGUUGGACCUUGGGCAGGAGGCACGGGUUGGCCGAAUGGCUCGACUCGGGUCUCCGGCCUCUAUGGGUGGUCGUGCCUUUGGUACGGUUCGCCCGGGUUACUGUGAAGAAAUUAGAGUGUUUAAAGCAGGCGAUUGCUUGGAUACAUCAGCAUGGAAUAACAAGAUAGGACCUGGUUCCACUUGUUGGUUUGGGGGCUUUGGUAAUGAUUAAUAGGGCCAGUUGGGGGCAUUAGUAUUCAGUAGUCAGAGGUGAAAUUCUUGGAUUUACUGAAGACUAACUAGUGCGAAAGCAUUUGCCAAGGAUGUUUUCAUUAAUCAAGAACGAAAGUUAGGGGAUCGAAGACGAUCAGAUACCGUCGUAGUCUUAACUAUAAACGAUGCCGACUCGGGAUCGGCAGACGUCGUUAGCGACACUGUCGGCACCGUGUGAGAAAUCAAAGUUUUUGGGUUCUGGGGGGAGUAUGGUCGCAAGGCUGAAACUUAAAGGAAUUGACGGAAGGGCACCACCAGGAGUGGAGCCUGCGGCUUAAUUUGACUCAACACGGGAAAACUCACCAGGUCCGGACAUAGUAAGGAUUGACAGAUUGAGAGCUCUUUCUUGA